rnacentral:piRNA from 1 species
UGGUUGCUUACUUUUGAUUUCUUGAAUGAGU